rnacentral:rRNA from 1 species
AUUGAACGCUGGCGGCAGGCUUAACACAUGCAAGUCGAACGAGUGGCGGACGGGUGUGUAAUGCUUGUGAAUCUAGCUUAUGGAGGGGGAUAACUACGGGAAACUGUAGCUAAUACCGCGUACCCUAGGAUGAGCCCAAGUGUGAUUAGGUAGUUGGUGCGGUAAAGGCUCACCAAGCCGACGAUCCCUAGCUGGUCUGAGAGGAUGACCAGCCAAACGGGGACUGAGACACGGCCAAGACGCCUACGGGAGGCAGCAGUGGGGAAUAUUGCGCAAUGGGGGAAAACUGACGCAGCCAUGCCGCGUGAAUGAAGAAGGCCUUCGGGUUGGAAAGCACUUUCGGUAGCGAGGCGGUAACUACAGAAGAAGCACCGGCUAACUCCGUGCCAGCAGCCGCGGUAAUAC